rnacentral:lncRNA from 1 species
UAUGGUCAGUGAUGUCACCUCUAUGUCACUGCUAUGUUCAAUUAUGUCACUACUAUGUUGCUGCUUUGGUCAAUGAUAUCAGUGCUAUGUCACUGCUAUGUCACUGCUAUGGUCAGUGAUGAUACUGCUAUGUUCAAUGAUGUCACUGCUAUGGUCAAUGAUGUCACUUCUAUGGUCAAUGAUGUCACUACUAUGGUCAACAUCACUGUUAUAUUCAAUGUCAUUUUUUCUGGUCAGUGUCGCUGCUAUGGUCAAUGAUGUCACUUCUCUGGUUAAUGAUGUUGCUACUAUGGUCAACAUCACUGCUAUGGUCAAUGAUGUCAUUUUUCAGGUCAGAGUCACUUCUAUGUCACUGCUAUGGUCAAUAAUGUCACUAUUAUAUUGCUUCUUUGGACAGAUAUGUCAGUGCUAUGCCACUGGCAUGGCGAUGAUAUCACUUAUAUAGACAAUGUCACUGCUAUUGUCAAUGUCACUGCUAUGGUCAAUGAUGUUGCUCCUUUGAUCAAUGAUGUAACUGCUAUGGUCAAUGAUAUCAUUUUUUGAGAUCAGUGUCAAUGAUGUCACUGCCAUGAUCAAUGAUAUUACUGUUAUGAUCAAAUGUUACUGUGAUGGUCAAUGAUGUCACUGCUAUUGUCAAUGUCAUUGAUAUGGUUGAUG